CUCUGGGACCGAAACUUUCCGCGUUGCCAGCCCGCACCCCAGCUGGGAGUAGGGAACCGUUGGGGAGGGUCAUCCGGGGACCUAAAGUGCGUGUGCACUGUGCACGGCGGGCGGAGGCAGGGAGGCGGCUGGCCACCCCCGGAGCCACAGGCACCUGGGCGGGGUCCGGCCACGCCGCAAUCGAACGCGCCCAGGCUCCAGAAGAGGCCAUAUAGGAUUCCUGGAAAAGACCCGCCACAUUCCCGCCCCCAGUCCCGCGAACCCACAAAGUGCUGAGUAACGAUUACCAGGAAGUCUCUCUCUGCGUGCACCCGCUUCUUUCCGGAAUUUACCGUGACGGUUCUCUUCUCUACCCUCCUUCUUUCACGGGUGAACUUGCUGCUCCAGCGUGACACAGCACUUUAAGGGACUGGCUGGGCUCCUCCGAGCAGACUGCUGGUGUGGGUUCUCAGUGUGGCCAGAGUGACGCAGUUGUGACCCUGAGCAGACCGUGAACUCCCGUUCCCUCAGUUUUCCUUUCUGUAAAAUGAGCAUCAAGAUGGUCCCUAACUCCUGGUGGUGGUAUUUUGAGGAUUAAAUAAAGUGCCUGUACAUUGAUGGGGCCAGUGCUCGGCACAUGAUUCUUUCUUCUCCUUCAAGAAUCCUGUGCAUAUCAUUACUGAAAAAAAAAAAAAAAGAAGAAGAAGAUGAAGAAGAAGGAGGAAAGAACAUGACCCUCAUCUCACUUCUUACAACAAAACCAGCCGUACAACUUCUAGAAGAAGAUGUUGGAGAUCAUCUUUGCAACCUUUGGGGCAGGUAUUUCUUAGGACACAGAAGUCACUAACUAGACAAUAAAAAGCUAAUAAAUUUGACUUCAUUAAAAU
rnacentral:lncRNA from 1 species